AAGAGUUCUGUCUCCAGUCUUGAGGAAAAGAUGUUUCCAGAUGAGGACUGUGAGGGACGGAGUGAAGAAUAAAGCAGUGUCGAUGCUUCUGUGCAGACUCUGAGUAGAGAGCUCCUGAUGACCCAUGCGGCAGAUGAGGCGUCACUAAUCGCAGUAGUGACACUGAGGAGGAGGAGCUUAAAUCUCCACAGCUGCGCAGCUGCAGCAGGAGGCAGAGAGGUGCGGGGCAGCAGAUAAGCCUCAGAGGAUGGACCUUUGGGAGAU